rnacentral:lncRNA from 1 species
GGAGGAUUGGAAACAGUUUGUUUUCUCUUCCCUCGUUCCUCUCAGUGGAUUCAGUGGAUAAAGAGCAGGCACACAUUACAAUAAACAUUUUUAUGGUCCCCAACAUUAGGCAUAUAAAUCCUACCUGUCUUCACACACUUACACACUAAAACUCCCACAGAAAGGGGGAAAAUUAGAAAAGGGGUGAUAUAAUUUGACUCUGUGUCACCACCCAAAUCUCAUCUUGAAUUGUAAUCCCCGUAAUUUCUCACCUGGCAAGAGUGGGACCAGGUGGAGACAAUUGGAUCAUGGGGGCAGUUUUCCCCAUGCUCUUCUCGUGAUAAUGAUUGAGUCUCAUGGGAUCUGAUGAUUCUAUAAGUGUCUGGCUUUUCUCCUACUUGCACUCACUCCAUCCUGCCACCCUGCGAGGAAGGUGCCUGCUUCUUCUUUGCCUUCCGCCGUGAGUGUGAGUCUCCUGAGGCCUCCCCAGCAAUGUGGAACUGGAUACGUCAUGGAACAGAGGGCAACCUGCCUCCUGGAAAUGUGGAGUGUCUAGGGAGUCACAGCUGAGAUCUUCCUUGGAUUAAAGGCUGCGGGUGUCACAAACAGACCUGAUUGAAAAUUCUUGAUCUGGCCACAUACCCUGUUUACAUUGAUGCAGAUUCAACUGGGUGAAAUAACUGUGAACUGGGCAUGUGAAGAGAAAGCUGAAAGCCAUGAUCUCAAGAUGGAAACUUCAGUAUCCAGCAAAGAAAUGGUGAAGGCGUUCGUUAUGUGGGAUAUGCUGUUACCACUGAACUUGAAGUUAUCAAAGAAGUUCUAUUCUUAACCCUUAAUCUGCUCAGGAUGCUGUAACAACACCAUAAACUUUCAAACAACUCUAUUUCCUACGGUUCUGGAGGCUGGAAGUCCACAAUCAAAGUGUCAUGUUGUCAGGUUGUGGUGAGGGCCCUCUUUUGGGUGUAGAUUGCUAACUUUUCUGUAUGUGUUCACAUGGCAGAAAGAGAUUGAGCUAGCUCUUGGAUCCUUUCUUAUAAGGGCACCAAUCCCAAUACAGAGGCUUCACUCUCAUGACAUAAUUGUCUCCCAAAGACUCUACCUCCAAAUAUUAUCAAUCACAUUAGGGGAUAGAUUUUAACACAUGAUUUUGGGGGGAACACAUUCAGUCCAUAACAUUUCUUGAGUCUUCUUCUAGGACCCAUAGGUUAUUUUAAAAGUGGCUUGUUCAGUUCCAAGUGUUUGAAGAUUUUUUUUUUCUGUUAUCUUUAACUUACUGAUUUCUAGAUAGACCCCAUUGUGCUCAGAGAACACUCCUUAUGUGAUUUCAAUUAUUUUAAAUUUGUUGAGAUUUUAUGACUUAGUAUGUCAUCUGUCUUGGUGUGUAUUCUGUGGGGGGGAUGGGGGGUGCUUGAAAAACGGGUAUUCUGCUAUUAUAGAAUGUCAAAAUAUCAACUGUAAUAAACAAGAAAAAUAAUCCUAGUCUUUUAUUUAAGGGCCCUCUUUAGUCCAUCUCAACAGACCCUUCUCCGAAGGGGAAAGAAAUGCAGCUCACAAGAGCCCAUUAAACAACUAAAACAAGACAAAAUAAAACAACUACCCCCUGCCAAUUUGCACACUGUUACUUCUUUUGUUUUCCCAAUCUUAUUUCUUCUUCUUUUUUAUAAUAAAAAAUUUCAAAGCAAUUAUCUGCUUUCUUACUUCCCCUUGACUUUGCCUAUGUUUAGUUUUACUUUCUAUGAUUGGCCAUCAACAAUUAGGCACAAACCAUUCUGAACUUCCUCUUCACACUUACUCAAGUGGGAAAGCUGCUGUUUACAAAGUUGCAAACUAGAAAGUGCUAAAUUGAUGUUGUACAUUUGCAAGCAUUCACGUUGAAAAAAAGAUGCAAAAGAAGACAGGUGAGACAUCUUGGGAAGUGAUGUGAG